UUCGGGCCAACUUUGAUCGGGACUCCAUUGUUGUUCACAAGAUCUUCCCGCCAUUCCAUGCCCGUUUUGUCCGAAUCCAUCCGUUGACAUGGCACAGCCAUAUCAGCAUGCGUGCUGAGCUGUACGGCUGUCCGAUCAAGGGCAUCUGAGGAAGAGGGAGCCCUGUCAGGCGCCGUAGAAACGGGAGACGGUGCAGCAACUUGAAGCACAUGGAGUAGUUGUAGGGGUUUUGUUUGUGAUAUCUUCAAGUUCGUAGAGUAUAGAAUAAAGAGCUUUCCAAAAUCAAAAGCAGUUGUCAUUUCUUUGUAACUAAAUUAUAGAUUAGAUCACUCUUCGUUCAUAGUGUCCGCUACUAUCGAGUUUACAUUUAGAACAUUUUUAUUGCCCCGUACUUGAGAUUCACCUGGAGCAACAAUCGUCGACUGGGUUGUAUAUUACACAGCGUAGACUACGAUUUAUACAGUAAAAGUUCCAUUCCAGGCUUUUGCCCUUAUUUUAACCUGUUUCGGGCGUUCGGUUAGUUGAGAACUUUUAGAAAAGCGGCGAGAGAGAAAUGCGGCAAGGAUUCCAGUGCUCUACUCUUAUUUUCUCUCUCGCCGUUUUCUGCGCGCUGCUCCUAAACUAACCUAACACCUAGAUGCGGGCUACCCUCGUAUUCUUUCCUUCAGUACGUGACACUUCUCCAAAAUAAAUUUUUUUUUACAGCAGAACUGACCCACAAGUCGAGCCACCCCUGCUUCACCCCUCAAAACUCAGCAUGUCUUUAAUAUAUACAUUAAUAUAUACAGGUCAUAUCUCUAGUACAUUUACGCCUGCCACCAAGCAUCGGCUUGCCUUUGAGAAGGGUUUAUAAUUCCCCGAUUAUAAUGAAUAAAGAUAAAUUGCUUUAAAUAUAAACAACAUACUCAAUUCCAGGGAAGCGUGUAAAAACACAGCCUAGCUAUUUCAGACCAAAA